AGGGCCCCCUUCCAGGCUCAGCCCACCCCACAGAUGCAGAGGGAGGAGGGGGUUAGCGGGCGGCGCUGUCAUUAUGCAGAUUGGACUGGUGUCUCCCGGUGACCAUGGAAACCAAAACCGUUCUCUUUCAGCUGUGCUCUGAGGAAGGGUUAUUUAACUCUGGCCCCGGCGGAUCAGCCGCACAGACCCUACUCACCGCAGGACCUCCAAGGGCGCUCGCCCUCUGCGUCCGACUGAGAUGGGAUGCCACUCCAGCAAGAGCACCGAGGUGGCGGGGGAGUCCCAGAAACCCGCAGAGCAGCCCGAGGGAGAGGAGCCAAAUCUGGGGGCUGGCCCAGAGGCCGCGGAUGGCAGAGACACCUCCUCAUUGAAGGAUGGCGCCCCGGAGCAGAAGAACUGAGAUGCUUCGCUCUGGAUUCGAGGACCCUCACUCAUCCCUGGAACUGCCUUUGGCCAGUGAAACUCGAGAGAAGCCCCGUCCUGAGAAGCUCCGAGGAGGAGAGGGAAACCCCCGCCUUCGGGAUCCAGGCUUCACAAGUCACUUUCACCAGGCUUUGCUCUGGAGCUGUGAGGGGUCGCAGCCCCGAUAGCCCUACUUCCCCAGCUCCCCGAUGGACAGGGAGGAUGAAAGAAGCCUUCUCACAUGAUGGGACUUUUCCCUGAGCCCCCUGGCUGACUGCUCGGACUCUGACCCGUCUCUGCUGCUGAGAUGUGAUGGUCCUGUGACCGACGCCCCCAUCCUUCCACGUUCUUCACUUUUCUGAACUCUGAAAGCUCUCUGGCCAUAGUGUUGAUGGGGAUGUGUUUCUUGUUUUGUCUUGUUUUAUCCCUCCCUCUCCUUUUCCUAAUAGCUGGCUAAAUAGCCAGUGCCCCUCACAGGAAGUUUUAGGGUUUGGCUCCGUCCACACUGUUUGUUUGAGCACUUCAAUAUUUAACUUGGAGAACUGUUAAUGAGUUAUGGGAACAAUCAGAAUCAGACUGGGAUCAUGGCAGUGGAAGACAACAAGGCCUUGAUCAUCCAGCCCCAACUGUUGGACAGAAGCUGGAAAAGUUUUCUUCCCAAGACUUUUGGCAAUAAAGAUGGGAUGUUGGGAUUCUCCACUCUCAGGGGACUGCUGCUGAGAUCCCAGGACCUUUGACCAUGCCAGCGAAGUUAAAUUUUUCAGGCUCCCAACUGCUGGAUCCAAGUUGAAAAAGGAAAAGUUUUCACCUCAACAGAGUCAUCAGAACACACAUACCUCGAGGGGAGGAGCUGCCUGCGGCAGAAGAGUAGGGAAGAAAGAACUCUUGGAAAUACCAAUAUUUAAAGAGCAGGUUGGAUAGAAAAGCACAGAAAAGCCAGGAAAGGAUGAAGGGUUCGACUGAUGGGAGAUGAUGAUCAAUGCCUCCAAGUGCGGACACUUUCCAAAGGCCAAGCAGUGUGCUCAAAGACUUUACAAACAUUACCUAAUUUGCUCCGCAAGGCCAUAAAACUCACACAUGAUGGGUGAGACAACAGAUCUGUGAAGGUCAGGUGCAUUAUUCAAAUUCACACAGCUACUUAGGUUAAAGACCCUGAUGCUGGGAAAGAUUGAGGGCAGGAGGGAAAGGGGACGACAGAGGAUGAGAUGGUUGGAUGGCAUCACCAACUCA